GGAGGUAGAGCUCAGUGGUAAAGCACGUGCUUAGCAUGCAAGGGGUCCUGGUCCAAUCCCCAGUACCUCCA
rnacentral:tRNA from 1 species